CAACAGCACGGGUACUCACAGGACCAACGGACAUGGGGACAAUAACACGUAGCAUGGAAGCCGAUACAACAGCACAGGUACUCACAGGACCAACGGACAUGGGGACAAUAACACGUAGCAUGGAAGCCGAUACAACAGCACAGGUACUCACAGGACCAACGGACAUGGGGACAAUAACACGUAGCAUGGAAGCCGAUACAACAGCACAGGUACUCACAGGACCAACGGACAUGGGGACAAUAACACGUAGCAUGGAAGCCGAUACAACAGCAAAGGUACUCACAGGACCAACGGACAUGGGGACAAUAACACGUAGCAUGGAAGCCGAUACAACAGCACAGGUACUCACAGGACCAACGGACAUGGGGACAAUAACACGUAGCAUGGAAGCCGAUACAACAGCAAAGGUACUCACAGGACCAACGGACAUGGGGACAAUAACACGUAGCAUGGAAGCCGAUACAACAGCAAAGGUACUCACAGGACCAACGGACAUGGGGACAAUAACACGUAGCAUGGAAGCCGAUACAACAGCACAGGUACUCACAGGACCAACGGACAUGGGGACAAUAACACGUAGCAUGGAAGCCGAUACAACAGCACAGGUACUCACAGGACCAACGGACAUGGGGACAAUAACACGUAGCAUGGAAGCCGAUACAACAGCACAGGUACUCACAGGACCA